UGCGGAGGUAGCCAAGUGGUCAAAGGCGACAGACUCAAGAUCUGUUUCAGCAGUGAUUCAAGGGUUCAACUCCCUUUCUCCGCAUC
rnacentral:tRNA from 1 species